rnacentral:rRNA from 1 species
GACGACGGCUGGCGGCGUGGAUUAGGCAUGCAAGUCGAACGGUAGGAUACCUUCGGGUAUCUGAGAGUGGCGAACGGGUGAGUAACACGUAGGUGAUCUACCCUCAAGAUUGGGACAACCCAGGGAAACUUGGGCUAAUACCGGAUGAAAGCAGCAGCGAUGUUGUUUGAAAGGUGGCGUAAGCUGCCGUUUGGGGAUGAGCCUGCGCUCUAUUAGUUAGUUGGCGGGGUAAAGGCCCACCAAGGCGAUGAUAGAUAGGCGGCCUUAACGGGUGGUCGCCCACACUGGGAUUGAGAUACGGCCCAGACUCCUACGGGAGGCAGCAGUCGAGAAUAGUCUACAAUGGCCGAAAGGCUGAUAGUGCGACGCCGCGUGAACGAAGAAGCCCUUCGGGGUGUAAAGUUCUUUUAUAUGUGAGCAGUGCUUUCUAUGUGAACAGCAUGGGGAGAGAGAUAUUAGCAUAUGAAUAAGCAACGGCUAACUCCGUG